rnacentral:rRNA from 1 species
GAUGAACGCUAGCGGCAGGCUUAAUACAUGCAAGUCGAGGGAGCAGCAAUGUCACCGGCGGACGGGUGCGUAACGCGUAUGAAACCUACCUUUAUCAGGGGGAUAGCCCGGGGAAACCCGGAUUAAUACCGCAUAACAUAUUAAACGGCAUCGUUUAAUAUUGAAAGAUUUAGCGGAUAGAGAUGGUCAUGCGUAGGAUUAGCUAGUUGGUAAGGUAACGGCUUACCAAGGCGACGAUCCUUAGGGGCUCUGAGAGGAGUAACCCCCACACUGGCACUGAGAUACGGGCCAGACUCCUACGGGAGGCAGCAGUAGGGAAUAUUGGGCAAUGGGCGAGAGCCUGACCCAGCCAUGCCGCGUGCAGGAAGACGGCCCUCUGGGUUGUAAACUGCUUUUGAAUGGGAAGAACGGUAGGCCUGCGGGCUUAAUUGACGGUACCAUUAGAAUAAGCCACGGCUAACUACGUGCCAGCCGCCGCGGUAAAAC